rnacentral:rRNA from 1 species
UACGAAGGGGGCUAGCGUUGCUCGGAAUCACUGGGCGUAAAGCGCACGUAGGCGGAUUGCUAAGUCAGGGGUGAAAUCCUGGAGCUCAACUCCAGAACUGCCCUUGAUACUGGCGGUCUCGAGUCCGGGAGAGGUGAGUGGAACUGCGAGUGUAGAGGUGAAAUUCGUAGAUAUCGCAAGAACACCAGUGGCGAAGGCGGCUCACUGGCCCGGUACUGACGCGUGAGG